rnacentral:rRNA from 1 species
GAGCACGUAGGUGGGUUUGUAAGUCGGAUGUGAAAUCUCCAGGCUCAACCUGGAGGGGUCAUUCGAUACUGCAUGACUAGAGUUCGGUAGGGGAGUGUGGAAUUCCUGGUGGAGCGGUGAAAUGCGCAGAUAUCAGGAGGAACACCCGUAGCGAAGGCGGCACUCUGGGCCGAUACUGACACUGAGUGAGCGAAAGCGUGGGGAGCGAACAGGAUUAGAUACCCUGGUAGUCCACGCCGUAAACGUUGGGCACUAAGUAGAGGGGUUUU